GGAUGAUGCCACGAUAUUGUUGAUCGCGCUCCUCCACCAUAGAAACAAUUUUGAUUUGAGGUCGGUCUAAAAAUAGCUUAUGUUUUUUGAAAAUGAUUUAAAAGAUUUAGUUUACAUGUAGGCACAUAAAUUAUUUACACAUAAAUGCACAUAAUUCUUUUGAAAUUCAUGGGUAGGUGGUACUUCCGAGGAUGCGUCGGUUUAAAAAUUGGAACUAGACCUCAUAGUUCCUUUGACUUUCCCACUAACGAUAGGUUAGGAGAUAGUACUUGUAAUUUAUUUCAAAAAUAAUGUAAUAAUCAAUCCAAAAUUCCAAAGGAAGAUUGAAUAAUGACUUUUAAGAAAAUUAUGUUGCAAAGCUUUGUAAGUACUAAAAACUAGUAGAACAUUAAGGUGGUAAAUUUAUUAAAUGCAAAGGUUUUACGAUGAAAUAUAUUUAAAGCCAAAUAAUUUGUUAAAUGCAUGAAAUGAUUUUAGCAUCACUAUUAUUUUAAGAAAAUAACAUAUUGCAAGGAAUGCGGAAAUCUUCAAGAAGACAAAUAGGACUACUCAUAAAAAUAAUAUUAACUAAUUUUAGGGGGAGGGCACAAACAUGCACAAACAAGUUCUAUUUUUUUUGGAUAUGUUAAAAGUUUAUUUACAAGCCUAUAGACAUGAUUUCUAGGUGUUAAAAAAAGUAACACAUAUAUGCAUAAUUUUGUAAAUUUAAAUAUUAUGAACAAUUUAAUCCUUAGGCAUGGUUUCUACAUGACAAGACAAUGCUAAAAGUUAGCACUUAAUCAACCUACUAAAUUAUUAUGAUUUGAUUUUAACAUUAAAAUUAAUGGAAUCUAGUUAUUAUUUUUUAGACUUAUUAACAAAGCAUCAAACAAUUGAUUGGAUUAUAACACCUACAAACAAUAAUUCUAGGUGGUUAAAGACAAACCUAUAGGCAUGAUUUCUAAAAAUUUAUGAUGAACAAGUAAGCAUAUAAAUCCCCCUCCCCUAGACGACCCCCCAAAUAAAUUUAUAUAUAUGAUCUUUAGAGUUACAAUUGUUACAGCAUUCGAAUAAAUAAAAUAGGAAAAAUAUAUAUAUAUACAUUCAAAUAAACAAAUAAAUCUUUCUUCAAUUAAUCUUCAACUUGGACUUCAAGUUUGAAACCUGUCAAAGUAAUCAAAUAACGGAUUCUCAAUGUAUUGUUAAAGUAGAAAGAGCGCAAUGAGAGAAGGGAGAGUGAUGAGAGAAUUUGUGAUUGAGAGUGAAUGAGUGUAUGAAUUGAUCAAAUAAUGAAGGGAGAGAGUCUUAUUUAUAUAGCAAAGAGGGGGAAACAAAUAAGGAAAAGAAAUAUUUUAAGGAAUCAAUUAAAAUGUAUUUUCCUUAUUAGAAUAUUUUCAAAAACAAAUAGUAUAUCAAACAUAGACAAGUAAGGAAUAUAAUAAGAAUUAAAUUAGGCAAAGUAAUAUAUUUUUAUUUUUUUUAAAUAAAGAAGAGUCCAAAAAUCAGAUUUUAAAUUAUUAUUAUGUUACCAAAAUAAACAAAUAAGAAUAAAUUAGGAAGACUAAUAUAUUUCCUUAAAUACAGAGAAAUCAAAAUAACAAAUGUUUCAAGAUCAGCCAAAUAUAAAUUUACUUGAAUAUAUAUCAGUAAGCAUCAAAUCAGCCUUAAUUAAGGCAUCUACAAUCAAUUACCAAACAUUAAUAAGCAAAAAUCACCUUACCAUAAAAUCUUCUAGGAUUCGUACAGGCAACAAAAUCAUCUUAGUACCACUAAAUCGAUAUCAAUCAAGCAAGUAAGAGGGAGGAGAAACAGUGAGAUAACAGUAUUACAUGAAAAAUAUGUAUUAAUCCGUCAUAUAAGCAAUCUAUAGUUAUUUACACCAACGGUAAAUGUCAACAGAGCAACAUUAGUAAGUCAAAUGAUAUAAUAAUCAAUAACUCCAAGAUUAAUUUAAAAAGUAAGAAAGCCAAAAAGAAAUACUCGAUUUGGAGCCAAUUAAUAUCUCCACCGAAUCAGACUCAAGAAGGGAAGAGAGUAAGAGAAAUUUCUAAUAUCUCAUGAACAGAUUAAGAACAAGAAACUACUAAUUCAUAGUAUAAUCAAGUAUGCAAGAAUUUGAAAGCUACCAGUAAACCCACAUAGAAGCAAAUAUGAAAAAAUAAAUCCUAAGUUUUAGUGGUCAAAUUAACAAAUUUAUUAAAGGAUGAAACAAAUUUAAAAAAGAACUAACCUUCAAGAAAUCUGAGACCUUUGAACAGUGCCGAAUCUCGUUGUUUCUGGUUGCUGUUCACGCUGGCCGGAGCUGCUGCUUGCUCCCACCGAUGAUCGCAACUGCUGGAUUUUUCGCCCGUGACUGCUUGCUGCUCUCCUCGCUAGGCUGCUGGUUUCGCUGGAGGCUUCACCAAUGGUCGCUUCUCGCCGGGAGGAGAUGGAAGAAGCGGAUGAGAGGAGGAAGAGAGGGGGCGUUGGGGCUGCUGGUCGGAGAAAGGCGAGAAGAGAGGGAAAGCGGUUGUAGUUGGAGUUGUUGUCGCUGCUGGUGGUAGCGCUGGUGUCGGAAUUGUUGGCUGGCGUCUUCUCCACCAAUGCGGCUGCUGGUCUUGGCCUGCUACUCCUGUCUGCGGCUCUCCAGGCGUUGCUGCUACGCGCGCUGCUGGUGCCUGGUUCUGCUGUUCUCGCCAGCAAAAUGGAGAGAACGAAAGGGAGAAGGGAAGGAGGAGGUUGGGCGAUGGGAGAAAGGAGACAGAGAAGAAGGAGGGAGAAGAGGAGGAAGAACAAAGGGCAGAUACAAUAGCUGCCAGCGGCUGCUGGCUUCAACGACGAUGGAGGAUCUCGCCGGAAAGAAUGGGGGAAAAGAGAGAAGCGGCUGCCAAGGAGGGGGGGAAGAGAAGGAGAGAAAAAUGUUUUAGGUUUUUUUUUUGGGUCUUUUGGUGUUGUGAAAAUAAAGAUUUAAUCACAACCAUUAGAUUAAUAAGAGAUGAAGGAUUAGGAUUCGAUCUAGGAUUUAUUUUUUAAGAUGGACGGAUGAGAUCAAAAGAUGAAGUUUUGAAAUUAGAUUGGCAAAGAUAUAGAAUGGCUAAAAUUGCAAUUAAAGUGGCUAGAAUAUAAAUGAAAGAGUGGUUGUGAUUGUGAUAAAAAACUUAAUUGGAGUUGGCUAGAAUUGGAAGAAAUUAGAAUAAAAUAGGCUAGAAUUUAAAUAAUAUUUAUUAAAAUACUACAUACAUUAAAAUAUUUCUUUUGUAUAAUUGAAAAUCAUCUAAAUUUUAAAACAUUUGAAAUAAUAUUUACAAUAAUUUUAUAAAGUAAAUAAUACUAAAAUAUAUAAUUUUUGAGAAAAAUCGACUAAAACUUCCAAACUUUAAGUAAAUUUUAAAAUACGUAUUUAGUCGAAUAUAAUCCUAAAAAUGGUUAAAGGUCGGUCAAAAUUGGGUGUCAACAGCUGCCCCUUGGUUGAUUGAGAAUGAAGAAUUAAUUGUCAAGCAACCAACGUUGACUUAGUAGCCGAUUUUGUCCGACCGACGAGAGAUGUCAGUUGGAUCAAUUGAAACGAUAUAGAGUUGAAAAAGGAUACGACCGAGACCUUGGUUUUAAGUCGCCUACAUAUCUCUGGUUAUACGAGAAUCAGGUCGUGUGUAGUUUUAGAUUCAAGAGCAAAUGAAACUCUUAAAAGUUGAAAGAGCGCUAAGGUAUUCAGAAAGCACGAUAUUGGCUUGAAUGAAUAAGAUUAGAGUAGCGAGAAAAGAGAGAUUGAGAGGCUAGAAGAGCGUGACAAAUAAGCAGGAAGAGGUUAUCAACAUUUGAGCAAGGUUUGGAGUAUGAAUAGUAAAGAAUUGAUAAGGUCUUUGUUGUGAUAGAUGAUAGCAUGAUAAUUGUAAUCCAAGGGCGAUCGAUCAUAUCUGCAAAUUCUAGAUAAAAUGUUAGCUUAUAAAAUAGAUAAAGUAUGAACAAUAAUGAUGAAAUGUGAGUUCUAAAUAAAUGACAAGAGGUGAUAAGGAGCGUAUCUGUUUGAGACGUAGUGCAAGCCUUGAUAGUCUUUAACUUCUUGAAGAAUUGAAACCCAUCUCUGAAGAAUAACGUCAAACUCCAAAAUGUUUGAUAGUAUAAACAUAUAAUAAUAUAAGCAAAAUGUCUGGUUGUAAGGAGAGUCUAAACGUCUUUUAAAUGCGGACGAGCCUAAACAUCAUAUUUUAAGGCGGAAAAGCCUAAAUAUCCUAUUGUAAGGUGGAAGAGCCUAAAUGUCGUAUUGUAAGGCAGACGAGCCUAAACAUCGUAUUGUAAGGCAGAAGAGCCUAAAUAUCCUAUUGUAAGGCGGAAGAGCCUAAAUGUCGUAUUGUACGGCAGACGAUCCUAAAUGUCGUAUUGUAAGGCAGACGAGCCUAAAUGCCCUAUUGUAAGGCGGAAGAGCCUAAACAUUCUAUUGUAAGGCGGAAGAACCUGAAUGUUGUAUUGUAAGGCAGAUGAGCCUAAACAUUGUAUUGUAAGGCAGAUGAGCCUAAAUAUCCUAUUGUAAGGCGGAAGAGCCUAAAUGUCGUAUUGUAAGGCAGACGAGCCUAAAUGUCGUAUUGUAAGGUAGACGAGCCUAAAUACCCUAUUGUAAGGCGGAAGAGCCUAAAUGUCAUAUUAUAAUAAGGCGGGAGAGCUUAAAUAUAUAUUCAGUCAAUCGUAGAAAAAAAUUGAUAAUAGCCUCUUCAAAAAAAUAAUCUGAGGAUAGUAUAACUUACAUAGUAGCUCCUAAAUAUGACAGUACGCUCAUAUAUAAUUUAUUCCUGCAUCCAGAGAAAAAUCGUAAAUUCAAAAGGCAAGAGAGGGUCAUACCUGUGCUUGUUUUGCCUUUAGAGUUGCAUUCCGUUGUGACGAAAUUUUUGAGGAUUUCUCAAAAAUUUCUGCCCCAGUUUAGAGAAUAAGAUAUAUACUCGCUUUUUCAAACAUCUUUAUAAAAAAUUUUGAGGUUUCCUCAAAAAUUCUGCCCAGUUUAUUAGUAAAGGAAUUUUGAUCCUGCUUCACUCAAAGAAAAAACUAUAAGUUCCAAAGAAAGUGAUUGUCUUGUAUUUGUACAUUAAGGCUGGACUUCGAAUUCAAGUGUCAAUUAUGUUCAUGGAUUGUCAAUUAGUCUAGAUUUGAAAUUUUAAAUGAGUGUUUCGAAUGACCAUGGGAAAGAAAGAAAAUUUAUUUGAUAGAGACCGGACCCAUCGAGGGUUGCCUACGUAUCCAAAAAGGAAAUCAGGUCAAACAUAGUUCAGAAUUACAAGGAAAAAAGAAAGGAAUAAGGAAAGCUUUGGGCAUAAGGUCGGAGAACAAUAAAGCCAACUUUGUUCAUAAGAGUCUUGUCCAUAUCAAUUUCUCUGAUGUGAUUUACGCUUCCUUGUCAAGUGCCUAAAGUACAUCUUUGUAGGAUCUCCUUGAACGAUGAUUUAUUCGCCAUAGAAGGAUUGCAAUUGUUGUUUUGUCGUCCUUGUUGCACUAUAAUUUUUCCUUUUUCAAUCAUAUUCUGAAUCUUAUUUCUCAAUGCCACACAUUCUUCGAUGUCAUGACCUUGAAUGUUUGAAUGAUAGGCACAAUUUUUGGAUAGAUCAAAGUUUGAAGUAGAGUGCUUGGGAAUCCAUCCAUUUAUUGGUCUUAGAAGUCCUUUAGCCCAUAAUCUCUGGAAAAUGUCGGUCAAAUUUUCCCUUAAGGGAGUGAAGACACGAGGUUUCCUCACCUUAUGUUGAGAUACCUGAGGGUUGGAAGGUUUAAGAAUAGCAUGAAUUUGCUCAAUAUUCUGAUUUCUUUGUUUUAGAAGUAUAUAGGUAGAUGCAUCUUCAUUCCUUUCAUCUAAUGAGUCUUUCAGGACUUGAAAAGAUUUUUGUGUAUCAGCAAUUCUUCCAGACUGAAUGUCAUAUUCUAACUCUUUUCCAAUUCAAAUUAGACUGUCGAAACUUUGAAUACCAGCAAACAAUAGGGUUUUGUAGUAUAUACCCUCAAGUGAUCUGAUGAGAGUUUGGACCAACUCCACUUCAUGCGGUAAGUGACGUAUCUUGGAGGCUUCCAUUCUUCAUCGUAUGACAUAUUCCUCAAAAGAUUCAUGACUUAAUUUCUUCAAUUUGAACAAAUUUAACAUUGUAGGGUCAACCUUGUUAUUAAACUUGUAUUGUUCCACAAAAUCUCGAGCCAUGUCUUCCCAUGCGAGCCAUUUGUCGAAGUCUUGUUUGACGUACCAAGUGAAGGCUAUUCCUGAUAAGCUUUGAAUAAAUAACCUCAUUUGGAGAGGUUUAUUGUUUUCUAAGCCAACUAGCCUGCUGCAAAAAUCUUUGAGAUGUGCCAUUGGAUCCCCACGUCCGUCGAACAUGUUGAAUUUUGGAAUUUUAAAUCCCGACGGCAAUUCAACUCUUGGGUGUAGACAUAAAUUUUUAUACCUUAAGUCAUGAGUAGGUAUUGAGUUUAUUCCUCCAUUCACCUUUUUCUCUAAGUCAUGCAUUUUUCGCUGCAGUGCAUCUAGCUUAGACUUCUCUAUUUUGUCACCUAUUCCCUCAUAUUGUGAAGCAUCAAAAUUGAGGCGUGUUGGAGACCUUUGUUGAGAGAGGGUGUGAGUAGGAAUAGGACGAGGAGAGAUAGUCCAAAAGGUACUUUGUUGUGGACGAGAAGAUGAGUGAUUUUUUCGAAGGUUGAACAUAUUUGUCAUGUUGCGAGUUCUUAGUCGAGACAAAAUCCAAAUACUAGACAACCUUUAGUCAAAGAAGCAAAUCAAACAUAAAAGCCAGUUAUUAUACAGUGAGCCAAAAUUAUAAUUUCAAAUGAAUGACACAAUACCCUCAAAGUGCGACAAUUAUAACAGUUAAUAGAAAAAGACACAUAAUUGAUUCAAGUUAUACUUUGCCAAUUUGAAGUUUAGAGUUGAAGAAAGACUUUAACUCCAUUUUGACAUAAUGACUUGAUUUAAAAUAUGAUGAUCAAAUUGACACAUAAAUAUGCAAUUUGUCUAAAGGGUGUUGGGGCCCUUUAGACAAUAAGGUGGCUACUAAUUAUAUGGAUUGACGUCAAGGACCAAACCACCUAGGGCUUAUGCAGCAUGUAUGACUUAACCAGUACUUCUAAGAGUUGGCUUGACACGAACUUGAAAGGGAUUCUAUGCAAGAGGCUCGUGGCUUCGCGAUAGUAAAACUAUCUGUUACGUCCACGCAUAUGCCGACUCUCUAUAAUGGGUAUUUGAAUAGGAUGGAAUUGGAAACCUAAAUAAGCCACAAAAGUGUAAAAAUGACCAAAAUAAGCCACUAUUUUAGUUAGAAACUAAAAUAAGCUUAGUGGAAAAAAAAAGUUUCACUUUAUCUAAUUUUUUAAACGUUUUCCGUUAGUGUCAUAACAUUUAUUUUUAAUAUAUAACGGAAUUUUUUCUUACACUUUAUAAAGUGGAACUUUUUCUUCCACUUUCUAAAAUGGAACUUUUUAUUACACUUUAUAAGAGAAAUAUUUUUCACGUUUCAAAAAAGCUUUUUCAGUGUUGUCAUACAAUUAUGUUGAUUUGACAUGUCAUAAAACGGAAAAAAAUAUUACACUAUGUAUUUUUAUUUUUUUUGUUCUAAAAAAAUUUUCAAUCUCUAUUUAAGGUCGUUUAAAAUGAUUGAAAUCACCAACAACAAAAAAAUCUUCUAUAUUUUGUUCAUUCAAUCUCAAAAAAAAUGUCUUCUACGCCUAAAGUUAAAGUUUCAAUUUAUUGGGAUGGUGAAAUUAUACAUGACAGAAAUACCGUUUAUUAUAAUUGUCCUCUCAAACACAAUGCUAAAUAUCCAAUUAAUGUUCGAUAUCAUAAAUUCAUUUCAUCAAUUUAUAAAAGAAUGGGUAUAAACAGUACUGAUUAUAAUUUGAUUAUAGUCGGAAAAUACCCUACUUCAUUUUUAUCACAAGGAUAAGUUAAUUUUGGAGAGUGGAUUAUCUAUAAUGACGAAUCGUUGACCGACUUUUUGAGGGUUCCAAAUGACUACAUAGAUCAAAUCAAGUUAACAAUACUUGAAAUCUAUGUUAGGAAGGAGCCUAAGAUUACUCAACAACGUUCUCAUUUAUCAGUCGAUGCCAAUCCCCAAUUAAAAAAUCGUAAUAGCGUUGAUGAAUUUUCAAUAACUCAAUCUAUUGAUUUUCCUAACAUGACUCAUUAUCAAAAUAUUCUUACCGUCGAUAUGAUUUUGAUUUAAAUGAAACUAUCAAUGAAAGUGAUCGGUAUUGCUCAAUAAUUAUAUUUCAAUCAUUAUUUGUUGAUUUUGUCGAUUAUUUAUUAGUUUAUAUGAUUUAUUUUUCUUAUUAUUAUAUAUUUUGUAGCGGUUUAACUUAGUAAGAUAGGAAUAUUGCUCCAAGUUAUGGAUUAGAUAAUUAUUUUGGUCAGUCAUCACACUUUGAAAUGAUGAAAAAUGUUGGGACAUCCUCAAAUUUUCAUGUUUCGCCUACUUUUGGUGUAGAUGAUUUUCAGUAUGUUCAACGUUUGAUUUUUUUUAUUUAAGUAAGUAAACUGCAUGAGUGAAAUAUUUAUACUUUUUUACAUAUAUAGGGAAAACAUUACACAAGAUGAACCCAUUGAUCCUGUGAAUAUCGAUGAUCGUGACCUUCCUAAUUAUGGCUCACCUUCAGCUAGUGAUAGUGAUGAUUUGCCUAAUGCUGAGGAAUCAGGAGAUAAUGUUCCAUUUGAGGCAUCAUCUAGUGAUGAUGAUUUUUCGACUCUCAAUCGAUCGCCAAGACCAAUGUCCAUGAGCCCGUUUCAUAAUCAUGAAAUUCCUUAUCUUGAUCAUCUCCCAGAUGGUUCAGAUAUCUUUGGUGAUACAUAUGAUGAGUAUACAUCACAACGUACGUGGCAUGAACCAGAAGAUUUCAUGAAUGGUGCUAUUUAUAUUAAAAAAGGCAUGUUAUUCAAUUCAAAGAAGCAGUUGCAAAGAGCAGUUAAACUUCUACAUUUGAAAGUAGCAAGGGAGUACUUUGUUAUUAAAUCGACAAAAAAAUCAUGGCGACUUGUUUGCAGGCGUGUAGAACAAGGAUGUCGAUUUAGGUUGACUUCUUUUAUUGAUAAACAUACUAACAUGUGGAAAGUUGGAAGAUACAUUGAAGAACAUACAUGUGAUAUGGGUACAUGUCGCGAAAGACAUUUCAACUUGGAUGUUGAGAUGAUUGCUAAUGUCCUCCGUGUUGAUAUAGAAAGAACGCCAAGGCACUAUUUUAUCAUUAGAUGAUUCUUAUUUAAUAAGAAAAUAUUCAUUUUUAUUUGAUAAUUAAUAUUAUUAUUACUUUUCAGGUUUCCCAUCAAAGACUGUCAAACAGCCGUUCUUAAAGCAUAUGGCAUUUCGAUAAGUACAAGAAAAGCCUAUCUUGGUCGCAAGCGGGCUUUUGAAAAAGUCUAUGGUACUUGGGAGGGUUAUUUUGCCGAGUUACCGAGGUUCAUAGAAGCUUUGAAACACUUCAAUCCUGGAACAAUAGUAGAAUGGAAAACAGAGCGGCGUGUCGAUGUCAUUGAACAUGUAUUCAACUAUGUGUUUUGGGCUUUUAAAUCAUGCAUUGAUAGGUUUGUGCAUUGUCGUCCUGUUAUAUCGAUCGAUGGAACACAUGUCUAUGGAAAAUAUGAUAUCAAGUUGUUGAUUGCGUUACAAUAGAUGGUAACGGCUCUAUGUUACCUUUGGCAUUUGCAAUAGUUGCAAAUGAGAUCAUAGAGACAUGGACUUUAUUUUUGGAUCAUUUGCACUUGCACGUUGUGAAGGGUCGUAGAGGGGUCACAUUGAUAUCAGAUAGGCAUCACGGAAUACUCUCAUCCGUGUAUAAUUAUUCGAAUUGGCAGGCUCCAUUUGGGUUUCAUCGUUUUUGUUUAAGACAUUUGAAGGCCAAUUUUCAAAAAAAAAUCAAAAAUAUCACUUUGAACAACCUAUUAUGGGCAGCUGCAAAUCACUGUCAGGAGAAAAAUUUUUUGAAAAAAAUGGAAAUGAUCAACGAUAUUAAUGCGGAAGUAUAUGUGUGGCUAAUGAAGAACGAACUUGACAAAUGGACAUUGCACAGGGAUGGAGGUAAGAGAUGGGGCAUGCUGACGACAAACACUUCUGAAUCAUUCAAUGGUCUUCUCAAAUCAGCAAGGGGUCUACCAGUUACUGCAAUGGUAAGACUCACUUACAAUCAAGUUGUGAAUCGAUUUGUUACAAGAUCAAAAUUUGUUAAUCAUCUAGUACAGGAAAAGCAACAAUGGAUGCCUAAACCAUUCAAGAUUUUUUAGGAUAAUCGAAAAAAGUCAAAACAUCACACACUGAUCAACUAUCACCAACAAAGGGAAAACAUAUUUGAGGUGAAAACACAUAUGCAUCAUGGUCGUGAUGGUAAUAAGCAUAUUGUAAAUGCAUCACAAGGAAAAUGUCAAUGUGGUAAAUGGCAAUCAUACCAUAUUCCAUGUUCUCAUGCAAUAAAGGGAUUUGAUCAAAUUGGGUAUCAAGCAUGGGAGCAUAUGGCACCAGAAUUCACUGUGCGUAGCUACAAAAAUGCCUACUUUGGACAAUUCAAUCCACUCGGCGGUGAAAAGUAUUGGCCUGAUAGUCCCUUCCUUAUGAUAGCAAAUAAAAAUUAUUUACGAAAAGUGGGCAUAAAUAAAAUCAAAGUGUUAAUAGCUACUGUAUUAAAUAGAUAAAUAACACGAACCUGCAACUUAAUUGGAUCAUCAAACAAUCCUUCAAUAAAAUCUUGAGUGUUAUAAAUAGUAGUAUCUUCAGUGUCAAAACGGACAGUACCUGAUGUGCCCUACAAAAAUAUAUAAAUAGUUUUAUUUUUUUAUUUUGAAAUAUUUAUAUAAGUUAGUAAUGUUUUAAGUUUAAAAUUAAUUGUUAAUUCUUACCGCGAUAUCAGGUAUAUAAUCUCCAACAUCUAUUGUUGAUUCAUAGCUCAUAUGUCCAAUUCCUUCCACAUCUCGAGUCAAUCUUGAAUAAGGAUCAAAUGACAUAUGUAAUAAAUUCAUGAUAUCUGACGUGCCAAACUGAUGAACAUGCAAAUCAUCAGCCUCUACUCUCACAUCUGCCCCUAUGUCUGGAGGAAUAGGUAUACCACCAGCGCCACAUCCUCGAGCGCGUCCUCGAGCUCUACCUCUAUGCCCCAUCCGUCCACUUCUGGGUCCUCUUGCACGCACAUGUUCAAAUAAAGGAUCUCCCUCAAAAAAUGGCUCUCUAAAUUGUAUUCCGGCCUCAAGCAAUGUAUCUUUAACAAUCUGAGAUACCUUUUCACCAUGUAAAGCAGAGGUUGUGUCUCUCUGCCACUGUAAUGCAAGACUAUACAAUUUAAAUAGUCCUCUGGACAUUGCAAUACUAGUACCAGCAAAAUGAACAAAGCCUGACGAUACGUCAACCUCUAAUGUAGGCCUACCUAUAAGCAAUCUUCCAUGCCGCAUGUACCAUAAUCUAUACCCUGCCCCGCUAGUACCAUCAUUUACCUCAACAGCUAAACUCUGAUGUCGAUUACCCCAAUCACAAAAAUAUUUAUCCAUCAUUUCAAGAACCUCUGCUCCAAGCCUCCUACGCUGAUCAUGCGCGUGGUGGUUGGUUCCCCAACUAGGAAUCACAGGUACAUGCUGGGAAUGACCAAACUGACGCAUUACUCUAUCAGGCGAGUGCACUUCAACAAUCUCUAGGCAAAACAUAGGGACACAUGCCAUCCAUAGAGGCUCAUCGACCAUACAACAAUGAGGCAGUGUAUGUAAAAUUUCAUUGUACAGUGUCCAUCGAAACUAUUUUUAAAAUAUAACAAUUAAAUAAAAUCAACAUUAACUGAUUAGUAUACAAAUAAAAUUAUUAUUAAUUUACUUUUAUAUGAAAUUUAUAUUUUUUAAUUAAUGAAAUGUAACAACGUAGGAAUCCAUAUACAUAUAUACAUAAAUUACAGUGUGGAUGAUAACACAUACUACAUGUUCAAGCAGAGACAAUUGAUAGGUUAACAUAUAACGAUUUAAUCGACAUCUUUUUAUCGAAAAAUAUUAUUAUAUAUAAAGUUAUUUUCGCAAAAAUAACAAGUGUAUAUCUCACAAAUUGAUUCUUUAACAACUUUAAUUUUGACCUUUUUCAAAGAUUGAGUUCUCCCAUCAAUCAAGAUUGCAAUUGACUCGUCACCUAAUUAAUUAAUUUAUUUUCUAGUAUAAUAAGUUAUAGUAUAAUAUCAUACUUUAAUUAUAUUACGUAAACUCCCGGGAAAUAUUGAUAUUUAAUAACCUUAAUUAUAAUAAUAUUAAUCUAAACUAUUCUCUCUCUCUCUAAAUAUUUUACUUCAUCAACACUCACAUCUCAACUAAUUAGAAUAGUAAUGAUAGGUUUGCAAAUAACAUAAUAAUUAAUAAUAAAUAACUUUUCGUGAAUUUAUAACAUGAAAUAAGCAAUACAAAGUUUGGCUAGCUUAAUGCUGCAAUUUUAUUUAUUUAUUUUAAAUAAAAUAAAAUAGUAAAACUAUUUAUAGUCCAAUUCAUGUGGACUACUAGAGUCAGCAAAAUAUCAUUUUUUGUUGUAUUUUUAUUAUUAUAUGUGUAUUAUUUCAUUUAAUAUUUAGCAAUCAUAUAUAAUGAAAUUUAUUUUAUGUACCUGAUCCUCCGUCAUGCGGUUUAACUGGUCUCUGAUCGGGAUAAGAACAUGAUGUGACUCGGUAUCCCUAUCAAUUCCACGCGUCCAACGCCUAGCAUAUGGAAGUAACAUGUCACCAUCAUGUUGAGGAGGAGCUGAUGGCUGUACAGGCAAGAUCCUCUCCCAACACCAAACCUUGAUGUGACAAACAAAAUAAUUAAAUUGUGAAGGGGAGUAAAAGAAAAAAAAAUACUAAUUGAGUAAGUAGUGAGAACAUAUAUGAUGAUCGAGAAUAUUUUAACUAAAUAAUGUUUAAAAUUCUUAGUUAUUAACUAUGACAUAAUCAUGAAGAAUGCUUCAUAUUAUUAAUCAAAAUCUAACAAAGAAUAACGAUAUAACUCUCUCGGCUUUCAGCUCAAGUUGGUGAAAUAACUUAAGUCUGCUAACUCCAAAAGAAAUUACUAAAACAAAAUCACACAAAUAGUAAUUAUCCUCAUUUAGAAAGAGGGAAAAUAAGUGUUAUCAUUCCAAUUAGAAAUCUAAAUUAGUUAUUUGCAUUUAUUUGCGAUCAAUUGAGCACUAUUAGCUGACUAAAUAUCAAAAACAUAAUCGAUAUGAAAAUUAGUCAUUAUGAUAUUUUUUUUGUUUGAAUAAUGAAGCGAGAUGAACAAUGAAGAUUAAUGAUAUAGCCGAUCCAACUUGCUUGAUUUUGAAGUAUGGCAGGAGUUAUUGUUGUAUGAAACCUCUAUAUUUUAGUAUAGUAUUCCAAUCGAAGCAUAACAGAGAUUGAGAUAACAUAUACUACAAAGUGGAACCUAUAUAUUUUAGUAUAGUAUCCACAUGUGCAAGUUUUAAGCUGGCAUGUGAUGCAGCAUCAGAAAAGGGGUAGAGAAAUGCGCGCUUUAAUGUUCAUAUGUGUGCAUACUAAGCUUCUCUUGUUUCUAAACAAUUUUUUUAUUUUUUAUUUUUAAAAAAUUAGGCAAACAAUCCCUUGCCGGUAAAUGAAGCAGCUUCUCGCCGGAAAAUAUAGCAUCUUACACACCUCGCCGGAAAAUGAAGCAGCUUCUCGCCGGAAAAUAUUUCAAGAACAUUAAAAAAAAUAAUAUCAUUCUAAAAAAUGUUUAAUGUUCCACUAACAAGCAGAAAUUAAGAGAAUGCUAAAUCAAGAUGUUAAAGAAUGCUAAAUCAAAAAUACUAUACUAAUACAAGAUGAGAUAAAUGAAACACAUUUUAAAUAAAUAAAAUAUGAGAUGUUAAAGAAAUACCUAAUUUAUAUAAUUUGUAGGGACGAAUUGUUAUGUUGUCGGGUUGUGCUACUCCAAAUUUUUGAUUUAUUUACUGUGGGGCUGCUUCAUUUGUCGGAUUGGGACCAUCAAUGUUCAUCUUCAAGUAACAUAAAAGCCAUUAAAGUGAAAGAAACAAGGAGAAGGUGAAAAGAUGAAAGUAAUUUUCUAUAAAGUGGAAGAUUUUCUUCCACUUUACAAAGUGGAACUUUUUCUUCCACUUCAUAAAGUGGAAGACUUUUCUUCCACUUUAUAAAGUGGAAGAAAAAGUUUCACUUUGUAAAGUGGAAGAAAAAGUUCAGUUAUACAUUAAAAUACACGUUAUGACACUAACGGAAAACGUUUAGAAAAUUUGAUAAAGUGGAACUUUUUUUUCCACUAAACUUAUUUUAGUUACUAACUAAAAAAGUGGCUUAUUUUGGUCAUUUUUAUAUUUUGGUGGCUUAUUUUGGUUCUCAACUCAAUAGGAUGAGAAUAGUUGUGAGAGGUGCAAAGGCACAGCAUCACGAGAAUAAAAUUAAAAAAAAAAAGGAAGAGGGUCCCAAUUUGGGGAAGUAUGAGCGGAAUGCCCAUUAUCAAAGCAAUAAACAUUUAGCAUUUAAAUUGGAAAGCGAUAAAAUAUAGACAGUUCAUAAACAAUAAAUAGAUAAAUAAGCAUGAAUAAAGGAAAUUAAACAUGUAAAGAUAUAAAAACUAAGCAAAUAAAGAAAGACGGUAUGGAAUUAAACAUGUAAUUAAGCAAAUAAGGGAAAAGGGAAGAUGUGAAACAUGGUAAUAAAAAAAGGAAAAGGGAAAGGGAUGGAACAUGGAGAGAAAACAGUAAAUAAGACAACAAAAUAAGCUAAACAUGGUAAGCACCUAACAAAUAAUGAAAUGACAAAAAUAAAGUAAACCCCACAUAAAUAAGCAAUUAACACGUAAUGGUAAGAACCUAAUGUCCCCAGCGGAGUCGUCAUUAUGUCGCGCCCCAUUUUCGCAGAAAACGGGUUUUUUGCGCGACCUAACAACUCUUUUGGGAUUUCGAGUUUGAGGAGUCGCCACCUAACGAAUUAAGGCGUCUUAGGACACCUAUCUAACCUAAGUCUAACUAAGGUCAACGAGCCAGAGAUUAGGGUAAGGGUACAAAUUACCUCGAGGGAAAGGUGUUAGGCAUCCCUCGAGGUCCACAAGUGUGGGUCCCGGCCGUAUCUCAUGCAAUCUAUGUGAGGGUUACAAUUAGCAAUCAAAGUCACUUCAUUUAUUAAUUUAUUUAAUCUUGCUAGUGAUAACAAAUACAAAACAAUUAAUACUAUUAAUUUGAACAUGCAAGUCUAGGUGAUAGCAAUAAAUAAACAAUCAAGUUUUGUUUUUAUUUAAGCAUGUGAAACUAUGUUAUAAACAAAAUUUAUAAAUAUCAAACAAUUAAUAUGUGUGAAAGUAAAGUUUGAAAAUUGAGCAAGUUUUGAAUAUGAAUUUUUUAUUUUUUUAAAAUGUUUGUUUCUUUAUAGGGAUGAUGCCACGAUAUUGUUGAUCGCGCUCCUCCACCAUAGAAACAAUUUUGAUUUGAGGUCGGUCUAAAAAUAGCUUAUGUUUUUUGAAAAUGAUUUAAAAGAUUUAGUUUACAUGUUGGCACAUAAAUUAUUUACACAUAAAUGCACAUAAUUCUUUUGAAAUUCAUGGGUAGGUGGUACUUCCGAGGAUGCGUCGGUUUAAAAAUUGGAACUAGACCUCAUAGUUCCUUUGACUUUCCCAAAAAUAAUGUAAUAAUCAAUCCAAAAUUUCAAAGGAAGAUUGAAUAAUGACUUUUAAGAAAAUUAUGUUGCAAAACUUUGUAAGUACUAAAAACUAGUAGAACAUUAAGGUGGUAAAUUUAUUAAAUGCAAAGGUUUUACGAUGAAAUAUAUUUAAAGCCAAAUAAUUUGUUAAAUGCAUGAAAUGAUUUUAGCAUCAUUAUUAUUUUAAGAAAAUAACAUAUUGCAACGAAUGCGGAAAUCUUCAAGAAGACAAAUAGGAUUACUCAUGAAAUAAUAUUAACUAAUUUUAGGGGGAGGGCACAAACAUGCACGAACAAGUUCUAUUUUUUUUUGGAUAUGUUAAAAGUUUAUUACAAGCCUAUAGACAUGAUUUCUAGGUGUUCAAAAAAGUAACACAUAUAUGCAUAAUUUUGUAAAUUUAAAUGUUAUGAACAAUUUAAUCCUUAGGCAUGGUUUCUACAUGACAAGACAAUGCUAAAAGUUAGCACCUAAUCAACCUACUAAAUUAUUAUGAUUUGAUUUUAACAUUAAAAUUAAUGAAAUCUAGUUAUUAUUUUUUAGACUUAUUAACAAAGCAUCAAACAAUUGAUUGGAUUAUAACACCUACAAACAAUAAUUCUAGGUGGUUAAAGACAAACCUAUAGGCAUGAUUUCUAAAAAUCUAUAAUGAACAAGUAAGGAAUCUAAUAAGAAUUAAAUUAGGCAAAGUAAUAUAUUUUUAUUUUUUUUAAAUAAAGAAGAGUCCAAAAUCAGAUUUUAAAUUAUUAUUAUGUUACCAAAAUAAACAAAUAAG
rnacentral:lncRNA from 1 species